rfam:Oceanobacillus oncorhynchi strain Oc5 genome assembly, contig: CONTIG000001
GGUACCUUUAAAUCAGUCCAGAGAGGCUGACAAGGACAGCGCGAAUAGAAUAGUUACCAUGUGGAGUACCUUUGGGAAAGGUAUAUCUAAAUGUAUGCUAUUUAGGAAAAGCUUCUUGUCAGGGAUUGGACAGGAAGCUUUUUUCUU